AGGGAGUCAAGUGACUUCACAACUCAUUAUAGUCUACCUCAUCUCUCCUAAACUUCAUUCCACAGAUGUUAAUGGCCUUCUCUUUUUUUUAAUGGUCUUGAUGGUCCACUAGUCAAGCUAGCCUUUGUUCUGCCAUGCUGCUGUCUGCUGGGAGCGAAGCUCCUACUUCACAGCCUGGCAGAGGCUGCUUUGGCAGAGCUGGCCUCGCGCCCCUGCCAGCGUGCGUGUGCCUGUGUGUGUCCUGAAACCCUUCCAGAAGAAGAAUCCAAAGCGCCGGCUGGAGAAGAGGGUGUGAAAUAGCUGUUGCUGCCUCUCCUUUGUCUAGUGUUUGGUGUUUCCCCUUAUGGGUUAAAACAAACGGACCUGCAAGCCAGGAGGUCCUUUGUGCUGUGCUGCUGACUCCAUUUCAGUGCAACAGAGAUCAACCACAUGUGACUUGCCAUCUAGUGCGUUUCGAAUUGCAUAUGUCUAAGGAACGAGGAACUACCUAUGUCAUGGUGAAUAUAAUGCAAGGAAGGCCAAGGGAGUGGUUAACACUUCAAGGAUUUACAGAUGACCUUAAGCUCCUGGAGGAUUCAUGGCAGAAAAAGUUCAUGCAAAGAAAUCUUAACGACUUAAGAGGAAAUAACUGAAAACAUAUAGAGCUAAUAGUUUAGUGGUUUUCAAGGUUUGAGCUGCAGUCAGGUGGUAUGCUGGCUGGUUUAAGGUACAGUGUUAGAUGACAAACUGUAACUACUGGAUUAAAAUGACAAAACCUGGUAUGUAAAGUGGGUCUGAGUGCUAGAUCUGGCAUGCAGGAGAGUUGCCACAGCCACUGAUGACUUGUACAUGAGAACAACUGGUUCACCAGAACUGAGAACAAAAGGGCAUUAAUGUUUUUGAAUCAGGAAAAAAAAUCUACAUCAAGCCACCAUCCUGCAAGCACUUGUGAACAUGAAAAAUGGAACUGUUCUAUAUGGCAGUAUUGAAUUCACAGCUUUUGGGAUGCUACAUGCUAUUAAAUUAGGAGCCAGAGUGUGCAUGGAAUCCAGAACCACCUGAUGCAUGGGCCCAUUCCCCAAAUUACAGAUGAGGGCUACUUCCAACCAGCGGAGGGAAAUGGCAAAGACACACUGAGCAGGACAAAUGCUGCUCCAGCUGCGUCUAAUGGAGCUCCUCAUAUGGAUGAACUGUAUGGUAGCUAUUGAAGUUGUGUGAUGCUGGUGCUCUGUCUGGAUGUUGAUGUGAUAGGAUGGAAACUGUAGGAGAAAAACCCAUGAAAAUGACUGGCAGAUGCAAAGAUUAGCAAAUGAGCCAUGCAAGGGAGUGGUCCUAGUCACAAAGCUUGUUCAUGAAUAACUAACCAUUGCUCCAUGUGUACAGAUACAACAGUUGUCUAUGGGAUUUGCACGUGGGAUUGUAAGCAUCAAAGGGAGAAGAUUCUACCACUUGGACUAAAAGAGCCACUCCAUGGGAUGCUGCCAAGAUACAGACCCUUUUGUUAAUGGAGUUUUUCACUAGACAGAACCUCAAUCUCCUACAUCAGCCUGGUGUAUCCCCAUGAACUCAGAGCUCUGCAUGGAUGCAUGCAUUUUAAAGAAAUCAGAAUAAAAUAAAGGUCGUCUUUGCCGUGCUGAAAAGAUCAUAAACAAGGACCUGAUUGGUUCAGAUUAUACUGUACACUUGUCAUGUGGGUAGCUGCACUGUGCAUAUUUUAUAGCUGCAUAUAUUAUGGAGUGAGUCAUGCUGUAAAUGGGUUGUGAUUGGCAGCUACAGAGGGAUGUCUUCCUGAGAAGCAGUGAUGCACAAUUAGCCAGGUUAUCUGGUUGUGUCAUUUUGGUAAAAGGACAUGUAGGUUAGUUGUAUACAGAUGUGACGGCAUAGCUGCCAAGUCACGUAAGGUGGCUUGUCUGGGUUUAAGGUUUCAGGGGCUGUAUAAAUGUUGGGGCUUAUUAUUAGAAUGGAAGAGGUGAAAUGGGGCUAUGGUCACAUACCAUGUUACAGAAAAAUCCAGUAACUCGAUCUCUCUGUACUCUGAAGACCUGGAUUGUUUAUAUGUAUGCUACGUCCCCACACAGGCUGCACCAGAACUCAGGCUGUAAGGAUUUUUGUUUCCAGGAGAAAAAGGAAAUUAGCCUGGCUGUUGCCAUUGAGUUCCAGAUCCUUGGUGUUCAGCAUGGUGACAAUCAAGAAGCUAAAAUUAGUCAAAAGUGGGUGAUAGGGGUAGGACCAGUAAUCCUGUAAAUCCCUACCACUGAAGGAUGAGCUUAUUUAAGUAGAGGAGCAAGUGAACUGGCCAGUGUGGGUUUGUAUCACACUUAGAUGAAAUCAGAGCUGCUCAGCUGUGUGUAUGGUUUCUGUAAGUUGGGGCCUGUGAUUUUGGAGCGGGUGGCUCUGAGUUUUAAACCUAGUGUUACUAUCGAUUACUAGAUGACUGUGACACACUUCAGUGACAGCCCUGAAGUCCUAGACACCCCCGUAUUGUUUCUCCCUGUAGGAACAGCGCAGUGCUUCUGUGGAGAGGAUUGUUUUAGGCCCAUGUGUUCUAGGGAUCUACUGGCUUU